rnacentral:snoRNA from 1 species
AGACCAUGAUGAGGACAUCUUCUCAGUACUCCUUGUAUCUCUCCCAUGCGUCAUAUAGAGUUUCACCUUCAUUUUGAGUAAAAUUGUUGAUCUCGAUGCGCAU